GCGAUAGUACUUUAUCACACUACAGUGAACCGGUAAAGCAAGGUUGAGCAGCUGGAAGUAGAUGGAGACUGGAGGGCUUCCAGUGCACUGAGACGAUAAGUAACGAACGGUACGGUAUAGAUUGUCAAGAAGCACAAAGAAAAAGAGCAAGAAGAUGAGCGUCGACAACGACGACGCUACAAAUACUAACUUCCAACACCAACACCAAGAUCUGGACCACUCCUCCGACUACCUAUCUAACGCUCUCCCCCAAACCCUCGACUCUCACUCUCAGCCUCAGCCCCAGGCGCGGCGCCCCCGCGGCUUUGCAGCCACUGCGGCUGCUGCAGCCAUGGGCCCCGCCACAACAGGAAAGGGGAAGAAGGAGAGAGAGAAAGAGAAAGAGCGGACCAAGCUGCGGGAGCGCCACCGCCGAGCCAUCACCAGCCGGAUGCUCGCCGGCCUCCGGCAGUACGGUAAUUUUCCUCUCCCCGCGCGCGCAGAUAUGAACGAUGUGCUUGCAGCCCUCGCUCGUGAGGCCGGCUGGGUCGUUGAGGCAGAUGGGACGACCUACAGACAGUCGCCGCCUCCUUCCCAUUUGGCAGCAUUUCCUGUGAGGUCAGUUGAGAGCCCACUAUCUUCUAGUUCGUUGAGAAAUUGCUCUGUCAAAGCAGCGUUAGACCAUCAGCCAUCAGUUCUGAGAAUUGAUGAGAGCUUGUCACCUGCAUCUCUUGAUUCAGUGGUAAUUGCAGAAAGGGAUACUAAGAGUGAGAAAUAUCCCAGUGCCAGCCCCAUCAAUUCAGUUGAAUGCCUGGAGGCUGACCAACUUAUGCAAGAUAUUCGUUCUGGGGAGCAUGAGAAUGAUUUUACUGGCAUUCCAAAUGUCCCUGUUUUCGUAAAACUUCCAACUGGUGUUAUCAACAAUUUCUGCCAAUUGGUUGAUCCUGGAGGUGUUAGACAGGAGCUUAGUCAUUUGAAAUCUUUAGAUGUAGAUGGCAUUGUUAUAGACUGUUGGUGGGGCAUUGUUGAAGGCUGGUGUCCACAAAAAUAUGUUUGGUCUGGCUAUCGCGAGCUUUUCAACAUCAUCCGAGAAUUCAAACUGAAGUUACAGGUUGUAAUGGCAUUUCAUGAGUUUGGAGGAAAUGAGUCUGGUGACAUGUUGAUUACCCUCCCACGUUGGGUUUUGGACAUUGGAAAAGAAAAUGGGGAUAUAUUCUUCUCAGAUCGUGAAGGAAGGAGGAAUACUGAAUGUCUAUCUUGGGGCAUUGAUAAAGAACGAGUUCUAAAAGGAAGAACUGGCAUUGAGGUCUAUUUUGAUUUCAUGAGAAGCUUCCGGAUGGAGUUUGAUGACUUGUUUGCAGAGGGUCUCAUUUCUGGUAUAGAAAUUGGACUCGGGGCAUCUGGAGAGCUGAAGUAUCCAUCUUUUCCAGAAAGGAUUGGGUGGAGGUAUCCGGGUAUCGGUGAGUUUCAGUGCUAUGACAAAUAUUUACAACAAAGUCUGUGCAGAGCAGCUAAAUUGCGUGGGCACUCCUUCUGGGCUAAGGGUCCUGAUAACGCUGGUGAAUACAAUUCUAGGCCACAUGAGACUGGUUUCUUUUGUGAACGAGGUGAUUAUGAUAGCUACUAUGGCCGCUUUUUCCUCAAUUGGUAUGCGCAGUCAUUAAUAGAACAUGCAGAUAAUGUAUUGUCUCUUGCAAGCCUUGCAUUUGAGGAAACAAAAAUAAUUGUUAAGGUUCCUGCUGUUCAUUGGUGGUACAAGACUGCUAGCCAUGCAGCAGAGCUAACGGCAGGAUUCUAUAACUCUACGAACCAAGAUGGAUACUCUUCAGUAUUUGAGGUUCUGAGAAAACACAUGGUGACAUUGAAGUUUGUUUGCUUGAGGUUGCACGUUUCUGGUCAGGAAAAUGAUGAAGCAUUGGCUGACCCAGAAGGUUUGAGUUGGCAGGUUUUAAACUCAGCCUGGGAUCGAGGAUUGACUGUAGCUGGUGAGAAUGCACUUCCAUGUUAUGAUAGAGAAGGGUACAUGAGCAUGGUUGAGACGGCCAAGCCAAGGAAUGAUCCUGAUUGCCGCCACUUUACAUUCUUUGUAUAUCAACAGCCGAUCCCUUUGGGUGAAGGAACAAUUUGUUUAUCAGAGUUGGCUUACUUCAUUAAAUCUAUGCAUGGUGAGACAGCAGGCAAUCUAAUGCCCUGAUCAGUUGUAUCACGUUCUUUUUCGAAGGAUAUUGCGAAAACAAGUGCUGGCUUCAACUAAGGCCAUUGAUUUUAUUAUGGCUCAAGGCAUCGCAACUCACAUAACAUUGCAUAUGGGAUUGUUUAUAACUUUAUGGGGAGGUGUGCUGGAGAAGCUGAAAUUCAUCUUGUGAAGUGGUCCAAGGUUGGUUCAUCCAUAAUAAAAUGGGGCUUGGGGAUUGGAAAAAUGAUCCUUAUUGACGAAGCUAUUUUAGGGAAAUGGUUUAGUGUGUUUCGGGUGGGGCGCUACCAGGGGUGGGGUGGAGCAUGGUUUUAAAUUCCGUUUUGUUCUAGCCAUUUUAGUUGGAAUUUUCCAUUCCGGUCUAGUGUCCGGUAUACUAUACCUCUUUGUUUCGUUUCGUUUCAAACUCUAGCCCGUGUCUACCAUUUCGAUUAAAUUUCGGCCGAAUUUGGCAUUUUGAGUCUUA